GUCAUAGCUUGUGGCUUUGAAAGCUUGUCAGAAAUCAAGAUUUCCUUUUGUGGAGUGGCUUUUUCAUGUCCCGCUGUGCCCUGUGGUGCGUUGAGAAAUUGGAUGGAAGUCUUGGAAGACAUCUUGCCCCUCCCGUUCACUAGGUACUAACGGAGAAACAGAUCUCCAAGCAAAGGACAGGUAUUUUCGGGAGAAAGCCAUCCUCCUGAUCUAAACUUUGGAAAGUUCCUUCAUGGAAUUGUGUGGGAGAAGGGAGAUCUCCA
rnacentral:lncRNA from 1 species